GGGAAGGAGGUCUGUGAACAUCAGGAAUUGCAAAAUCUUGCUGAACCAAUAGACCAACAGCCAUUAACAUUUGUCAAUGCAAAGAUCCUAAAAUAUACAAGUGUGGAGUUGUCCUGCCCUAAGAGCUGAAGCUGUGACAAUCACGCUGCCAUGAAAAAAACGCUUUCGUAUAUUUUUCCUGCUGGGUGGUCAGAAGGAAAGGCCGUGAAGCUAAAGGUCUCCCACUGAGACGCUGUUCUGCAAGGAGCCGACCUCACGUGCCGCCGCCGCCAGAGAAGAGAGCACCUGUUCAUCUCGGCUCACUGUGAGGCUGAGCUCAGCGCUGGCAGGCGAGGGGCCGCAAGCAUCCCCCACAGCCACCGAGAGGGCAUCCCUGCAGGGAAAUCAUAUCCGACAUGCCUGUGCCCACAGCAGACUUAAGACUGCCUCUAAAAUGUCCAUGAAGCCAUUGUCCAGUAGAGCUGUUAGUUUUAACACCAGUGAGUAUUACCUUUGGUUAAAAGGAUGCAUGUGUAUAGGUGUAUGUGUGUGCGUGUGUGUUUGUGUUUUUGGACUUGUGUGGAGAAUGAAGAAAGGGUUCCAUUUAGGCAUUUGCAAAUAUUCGAUGGCAUCAUGAAAAGACAAAAAAAUCCUAUAAAAUAUAUCAUAUUUUGCUAUGAUUUUGUGUGUACAUGUAAUAAAAUUAUUAAGUAUA
rnacentral:lncRNA from 1 species